rnacentral:rRNA from 1 species
CUUUCAGCGGGGAGGAAGGCGAUAAGGUUAAUAACCUUGCCGAUUGACGUUACCCGCAGAAGAAGCACCGGCUAACUCCGUGCCAGCAGCCGCGGUAAUACGGAGGGUGCAAGCGUUAAUCGGAAUUACUGGGCGUAAAGCGCACGCAGGCGGUCUGUCAAGUCGGAUGUGAAAUCCCCGGGCUCAACCUGGGAACUGCAUUCGAAACUGGCAGGCUAGAGUCUUGUAGAGGGGGGUAGAAUUCCAGGUGUAGCGGUGAAAUGCGUAGAGAUCUGGAGGAAUACCGG